GUCAGAACGAGCUGCUCGUAUGCCUUCCGAACGAAUAAUCUCUUGUACGACGAAGUGUAAGAGCGUAGUCUUGCCGUCAGUUCCUUUAACAUCCGCCAGUUUCAAGAGCGUGUCGAGCUUGAACGCCUGAGCACCACCACGGUGGGGGGCGACCAACUUUUAGAGGUGGUGGUGGUGGGGCUCUAGGAGCAGGCGGCGGAGGCGGUGGAGGUGCUGCCGCUGGUGCUGGUGCUGGUGCUGGUGCAGGUGCAGGUGGAGGUUGAGAAUCUAAUCUUCCAGGAGGGGGUUUUAGAUGCGGCAUUGCUGAUGAUUUACCAUCAGAUGUUGGAGCCUCAGCCAUAGAGGUGCCAUUUUCAGGAUUCGCAGAUAAGUUGCCAACAAAUGAGUGUGGUUUAGUUCCAUUAUCAGCAUUUACGUCUUUGGUACCUGAAUUUCCAAGGUUGUAUGACUUCUGUGAAGAACCUGAAGGCAAUUACAAAGAUGAUUUGAAAAUUCAUCAAUGGAAAAACAAUGAGAGAACAUAAAAAUAGUACCUUACCUGCUGAUAGUUCACUCAAAGAUAUGUUUAAGAGAGGUCUCUCAUCCUUUUGCCCAUCCUUUGGAUCAACUUUACUUUUCUCACCUCUACGACAGCAGAACAAAAGCAAAGCAACCACAAGAACAACUCCCAAACCAGCUGCUACAAUACCAGCAAUUAUGACUGUCUGGUCUUCUUCAUGCUUCUUUGGAGGCCGAGACUUGGAAGAAGCACGUGGAGGAGGUGGCGAGCGAACUACAGAUGGUGUAGGCAAAUCUGGAACAUCGGUGUGGUCCGGUGGCGGUUCUGGAGCCUCAACAGGUGGAUGGAGGUCUCGUGAUGGAGACUUGGCUGGGGUAAGACUUGGAGACUUGGCUGGGGCAAGACCUGGAGACUUCUCUGGGGAAAGACUUGGAGACUUGGCAGGGGCAUGACUUGGAGACUUGGCUGGGGCAUGACUUGGAGACUUGGCUGGGGCAUGACUUGGAGACUUGGCUGGGGCAUGACUUGGAGACUUGGCUGGGGCAUGACUUGGUGAUGGCAUUGGAGCAUGACUUGGAGACGGUAACGGAGAAGUUACUGGUGAUUCUGCUCCAGGUGAUGGUAAGGGAGGUGCAGGUGGAGAUGGAACUUCAGCAAGAUGCCGUUUUGAUGAAUCUUGCGAUGAUCUAAUUAGACGUUUCAUAUGAAUAUUGGAUCCUCCAAUUAAUAACAACUCGGUUGGUUUGUUAAACCGAUCAAAUAAACUAGAACUUGAUUCAGAACCACGAGAAAGCAUAGUUUUCUUUCUUAAACAAUUCAACACGUCCUGUUUCAUAUCAGGUGGUAGAAUUCUUAUAACUUUUUUACCCAUGUUUUCAGUUUUGAUGCGAGGAACAAGAGAUUCUUCAUCUUCAUGUUGAUAUUCUUUCUCUGCUAAUUCUUUCAUGCAUGCCUUCUCUCCCUGUCAUCACACUAUUAUUAUAUCAGAAGUUUGUUGUAUUUUGCAGAUGAUGAAGAGGAAAGCAAAAAAGCAGAAACAAACAAAAAGGUACGAAUCACGAUUCCCUACCCACAUAUGUCAUCAUCUAUUUUUCAUUUUAUGAUUCUGGGUUGAAUUGAAAGGAAGAAGAAAGAAAGUUGAUUCAUAAUAAUUAGAGAAAAGGGAAAAUUAGUUACCAUAUCUGUAUCCAAGUCCGAUGAUGCAUGGCAAUUGGCAUUGGUAAGAACCAUUUCGACCGUCUUCCUUCUGCCUUCUGAACUCGCAAUUGCCAAUGCACAGAGGAGAGUCACAAAAACAACCACAUAACCAGCUCUUCUUAAUUCCAUUUCUCUCUGAAUCACCAUCCCAUCCGUUUUCUUCUCUUCUCAUUUCAUCGAACUUGAAGAAAUCUCUACUCUUCAAUCCCUCUAAAACCAACCAAUUUCUUUGAAUUGCAGAACCUUACCCCUUCCUGUAAAUGUAUUUACCCAACUUUGCCAAUAAUUCACAUAAAAGUUUCCCAAUCAAUGUUAGAACGCUCAGAGUCUCAUUGAUUGAAACGAGCGUUCACCAUGAUAAAUGCCCAAAGAACAAAAAAAAAAAAAAAUCAAUCUAAUCAACACCUGUUUGUCAAAUUUACAAAAUUAUGACAGUUUGAGUUUGAAUUCUUGAUAUUUUUGUUAUUCUUCAGCCGAAUUUGUCCUGGAUUUUCUUUUCUGGAACCAAAGUCCAAAACCUUUUUCCCUCCCUGAUAUUCCGAAGAUAUCUUUUCUUGAUAUCCGGAAGGGAGGAAAAAAAAAUGGAUGAGUUAAGCAAACGUGGGGAGAACUAUGUGGAAAACCCAUGAUUCUUUUAAUUUCUUUUAAAUUUAUUUUAUGCCCUUCUCUUUUCAAAAUCUUAUCUAUUUUCACCCCCAAUUAUCUAAAUUUACUUUAUGAAAGAUAUACUAUUAUUAUUAUUAUUAUUAUUAUUAUUAUUAUUAUUAUUUACUUUUCAAUAUUAAAAUUUGAGUGGCUAAUGUAGCGUGGGUUUAGAAUGAAAAUUGAGGUUGUCAAGAGGUGAUUGGGCAGCCGUUGGUAACGAAAAAUCCAUUUAAUUAUUAAAAUCCUAUGCCACUCUGUAAUUAGGAGGAAAAUCUAUUAAACAGUAAUCGGAUCGCACAAUUCCAACAAACAUGAGCUAUAUUUAAAUUGUGUUUUUAUCCUUUGACACCUCAAACUCAACUUAUUGGAAUAAAUUGAAAUUUAGGGGAACUUUAAAAAAUUUUACAACCCAUUCUACUUCUCUCUAAAGCAGAAUUUUCAAUCAUGAACUUUCAUUUAUUUAUGACGUUUAUAUUAUUUUCUUAAAUGAUUGCAUAUUAUGUUAAUUGACUAAUAGUUGAUAAUAUGACCUGAUAUGACAGUAUGUCUUUUUCUUUUUCUUUUCUUUUUUUUUUUCCAAGUGCAUGACAAUAUUUAUCUGAUAAUUGUCAUAUCCAUCUUUAUAAAAAUUAAUUUGCAAUAAAAUUUAAAUUUUAAGAUUUAUUGGAUGAAAAAUUUGUGAAAAGAAAAAAUAAUCUUAUUUUAUUCUCUCAAGCAUUUCCACAUCUGUUAUGAAGCUUCACUCGUUGUUUGAUCAAUGGAUUUGGGUCCUUAAGACACCUGAGUUUUAGAAAAAAAAAAUAGACAAAUGUGAAUAUACCUAUGUCUCUUCACAUGUCGCCGUCAGUCGGGCAAGGAGACGAGAGAUAAAACAAUAACAUAUAUAUUAUUUUUGCUAAAAAAUUAUUUUUAAAUGUCUAAAGUGUUUUUACCGUUUAGAAAUAAAUUAUUAUAAACGCUUGGAAUUAAUUUGGCGUUUAUUACUGUUUGGAAUUAAUGUCAUAAUUUACUCCCACGAUUUUAAUAUCAUUACUCUCUCUCAUAAAUUUGUUUUUGUAACCGUUGGUAAUCCAUCACUAUAUAUAUCUCGUUCCUUCUCUCAUUCCAAAAAAACAUGUUCUUCCCUUUCUGUUUGUUCUUCCUUCUUUGUCAAAAUUCUCUUUCUGUAAAGGGUUUUCGAGCUCUUUAUAUUGUGUCUUUCAUUUUGAGUGAUUUUGAUUUCAGUUGAUUUCUAUGGAAAAUCGAUUGAAGAAGAGACUGUUUUAUCCUGGGGACGACGGGGCAAUAUUCUGUUUGCAUGAUUCAGAGCGGAGUCAUAAAACAUCUUAAAGAAAGCGUGUUUCGCAACUCAGUCGUCUACUAACCUUGUUUUUGUUUUGCAGUUUUCGUUCCAGUACCAAUCUGCCUUGCAGUUGCUGUUCUAUUUUUCUACUUACCAGUUUGUCGGAUUUGAACAAGUUAUGUAUUAAAGUCAGAAGUGCAACAAUAAUUUUAAGACGUUUUAUUUUCCUGUUGUAGUGGUUGGAUAGUUCUAGUCUGAUUUGAUGUCUUUCGAUCUCAGCCGACUGUUCUGAUUUGAAGGGGCACACUUCAAAAGGUGGAAACAAAAAAGCUAUUUUUUUCUCACAUCGAAGAAGGUGACUGCUGCUUGUACUACUGAAAAGCUAAGUGUCCCAGAAGAAAAACCCUACAGAAGAACAAAUGAAGGAGCUCACCACGUGGACAAAAACUGAUUUCAUUUGUUUUUUUUUCUUGGGACAUUCAGCUUUUCAGUAGUACAAGCAACAGUCACCUUCUUCAAUGUGAGAAAAAAACAGCUUUUUUUGUUUCCACUUUUUGAACAGUCGGCUGAGAUCGGAAGACAUCAAAUCAGGCUGAAACCCUAAUAAUUUAGCCACUUUGAUGACUAACAAAUUAUUUA